rnacentral:rRNA from 1 species
UACGUAGGGUGCGAGCGUUGUCCGGAAUUAUUGGGCGUAAAGGGCUCGUAGGCGGUUUGUCGCGUCGGGAGUGAAAUCCACUGGCUUAACUGGUGGCUUGCUUUCGAUACGGGGCAGACUGGAGGUGAUGCAGGGGAGAACGGAAUUCCUGGUGUAGGCGGUGAAAUGCGUAGAUAUCUGGAGGAACACCGGUGGCGAAGGCGACGUCCUGGACCGGCAGUUGACGCGU